rnacentral:lncRNA from 1 species
CUACAGUAAUUCUUUUUUGCAAUCUUCAAUAGUGGAACCCGAAAUUAAGGGGCCUUUCGGGGUUUCCACCCGAUUGUUAUCUUCAUCACGUGGUGUGCUAUUGCGCGGAAGAUUGUUGUUGCUUGAACCCAAUGUUAAAAUACCCUUUGGUGUUGCCAUUUUUUGAUUUCAAACCACAGGAGAGAGAUGAAAUAAGUUGGUGUGUAAGCUUUUUUUUCCAGUAUGCUCUGUGUGGAGUAGGCUCAAUCCUCCAAUAGGGUUAAUAUACAAAUUGCAAAAUAUCCCCAAACGGCAGAAUCUCAAUACGUAUCGCGGAUUUUGUGAUGAACCCUUCAACUGAGGUAGGAAAAUGCACGGAUUUGUGAGAUUUCGGGAUGGGUCUGCAGAGUAUCGCUAUUAGGGACAACAUUUCCGCCAAAAAAAUCCUAAAAAUAUACGAAACUCUUGUGUUGGUUUUAUAUUAUACGGCAAAAUUUUUGAAAUAAAGCUAAGAUUUGAGGAUGAAGAAACCAAAGAUUGAGAUGAAAUGGGGGGAGUCAUUAGAAGGAGAUGAAAUGGGGGAAUCAUUAGAACGCUGAUAUGGAUUUCUUCUGAUUUGGGAAUUUUGGGCAAAAUAUUCGGGACUGUUG